ensembl:lncRNA
AGCUGAUUUCAUCUCGGUGGGGAAUGUCUUCCUAUCUCUGGCCUGUCACUUAGAUACCACCGGAACGAUGGUUGGAGAAGGGAGGAGAGCCUAUGGUUCAAUAGGUCAUAUCUGAGGACACUUUCACCUUCAGUAUGAAAGCAGAGCAUUUCCAGUUCCACCACGGCUAAAACGGCAUGAUACAAAUCCUGCAC